AAUGGGAAAGUUUUUUUUUUGAUGUUUCCAGCCUUAACCUCAAAAUGACACUUCUCCUGAUUGCACAUAGUUGCCAUGGACACCUCAUCCCUAUAGCAACAAAGGGCUGACUGGAGGAAUUGUACAAGAUUUGCUCAGAAUGAAUAAACACAUGAGGAAACCAGCACUUGUGUUAAAUCCUCUGUCUGCUAUAAUGAAUUGUAACAUCUGAUUUGUCUUUCCCUUUAGACUAAUGCCAUUGAGAAGUAGUAACUGGUAUGCCAUUAUGAAGGCCUGCAUCGGUUUGACAAAACUCCAAGUCUAUGCAUAAAGCUCAGUAAAAUGGAGCUAACUUACAUGCUGGCAUAUUUUCACUGCCAAUUGGAUCAUAGCAUCCAUAAGGCGCCCCCCAGCGGUGAUUUGCACUUCGAAACGAUGAUGAGACUCGCAGCUGCAGAUUCUCUGCUGAACGAGAUGAGCGGCAACUUCGGCACCACAGGAUCAACACGCGUCAAACACCUACAAUAGGACUGACACUGCUUCUAGGUUUUCUCUUCACCCUUUAUGGAUUCCACUGAGCUGCUUUUCCGUCAUGGUGCCUCCUGAUAAAAGCUCCAAACAAACCAAGGUGCCCAGGCAGCCCACCAAGUGGAGGCAGAGUCUGCCCUCUCCGGCCCUGUGCUGUGCCUGUGGUCUGUGCAUCUUGUUGGCUGGCAUUAACAUCACUCUGGUGGGGGCCUUUGCCUUUGGUACCUUCAUGCCCUCAGGUAACCCACCCAUCAUCAUCGGACCCCUGCUUUUAUUAUUGGCCCUGGGCUUCUUCACUGGUUGUUGCGUGGUCAGCAGGAGGCCUCCAGCCCACACCGCUAACCAGGCUAAGGGGGGAGAAAAGUGGGGGCUGAUGCGUAUGGGGGCCGUGGCCUUUGAGAUGGAGACCAGUGAGCACACACUGCAGGACACUACAGCCGUUCAGCUCAGUCCAACUAACUCUCCAGCAUCCUCGCACAAGUCUAACUCCAGCCAUGGGGCCAAUAGUGCCCCGCUCCCCUGUCAGAGCGGGGGCGGUCUGAUUGCGGCUCUGGGUGAGAGCAUAGCGGGAACUUGACAUCUAGAUGACAUUAUGACACACUACAGGAUGGACAUGUAUCUUCUGUUGUCUUUCACCAAUGAAAAUGUAAAA
ensembl:lncRNA